rnacentral:lncRNA from 1 species
UAGUCAUUUCCACUCUAAUAAUUGGUUUCUUCCUUUAAUAAUGCACAAGGGUAGUUUAGACUUCUCAUGUCUACCAUGAAGGGCAUUAUAGACAUUAGCCAUAACCAUUAGGGUUUAUCACUUUAGAUUUUAAAAUUCCAUAAUAUAACUAAUAAUACACUAAAAGGGUAUUUUGGUAAUUUCACAUAUAAUUUCAUGGACAUUUUUGUACAUAGCAAUUAAAUGUAGUAUUUAAUCACUAGAUGGUAAUUCUUAUCAUUUACCAAUUACUUUCUAUCCUUUGGUAAAUUAAAACAUUUAUACAAUAACAUCGUAAUUAAACCCAAUAAUUUUAAAUUAGGGUUUUGAUUGAAAAAUUAGGGUUUU